AUAGCAAAAAAUUGUGUAGAUCAAACCUUGUAACUGGUCGAUACAUAUUGUUUCAAUAUAAUAUUUAUUUUACUGUAAUAUGUCAUGUAUAUUGUUGAAAAAACAAUACUAUUACACGAACUACGCUCGAAAUCGUUUUAUAAAAGCAAUGAUUAAUUUUUGAUUACAUAUAUACAUUACAUCUCCCUUUAUAUUCUACCUUCCCAACUUCUAAUUUUCAACAGUGGUCCACCCGUCAUGCGAAGUAUACCAGU